rnacentral:lncRNA from 1 species
ACUGUAAAGCGCGCGCAGCCAGGGUCCUUUUCUUUCUUUCUUUCGUUCUUUUUUUUUUUUUUUCUAUUUAACCAUCUUUAUGUUGUACUGGACCACCAGGUCAAUGGCAGAUCUUAUCCAACCAAUAAUUUCUUCUAGUUUGGAUGUGUAUCUACGUGUUUAUAUUUUCAAAUAAAUGUGCCAAACUGGCUGUUUGGAUUGGAACACUGGUUUUGGGU